rnacentral:rRNA from 1 species
UACGGAGGGUGCAAGCGUUAUCCGGAUUCACUGGGUUUAAAGGGUGCGUAGGAGGACUGGUAAGUCAGUGGUGAAAUCCCCGAGCUUAACUUGGGAACUGCCGUUGAUACUAUCAGUCUUGAAUACCGUGGAGGUGAGCGGAAUAUGUCAUGUAGCGGUGAAAUGCUUAGAUAUGAUAUAGAACACCAAUUGCGAAGGCAGCUCGCUACACGAAUAUUGACGCUGAGGCACGAAAGCGUGGGGAUCAAACAGG